rnacentral:rRNA from 1 species
UAGGGAAUCUUCGGCAAUGGGGGCAACCCUGACCGAGCAACGCCGCGUGAGUGAAGAAGGUUUUCGGAUCGUAAAGCUCUGUUGUAAGAGAAGAACGAGUGUGAGAGUGGAAAGUUCACACUGUGACGGUAACUUACCAGAAAGGGACGGCUAACUGCGUGCCAGCAGCCGCGGUAAUACGUAGGUCCCGAGCGUUAUCCGGAUUUAUUGGGCGUAAAGCGAGCGCAGGCGGUUAGAUAAGUCUGAAGUUAAAGGCUGUGGCUUAACCAUAGUACGCUUUGGAAACUGUUUAACUUGAGUGCAGAAGGGGAGAGUGGAAUUCCAUGUGUAGCGGUGAAAUGCGUAGAUAUAUGGAGGAACACCGGCGGCGAAAGCGGCUCUCUGGUCUGUAACUGACGCUGAGGCUCGAAAGCGUGGGGAGCAAACAGGAUUAGAUACCCUGGUAGUCCACGCCGUAAACGAUGAGUGCUAGGUGUUGGGUCCUUUCCGGGACUCAGUGCCGCAGCUAACGCAUUAAGCACUCCGCCUGGGGAGUACGACCGCAAGGUUG